AUUGAACGCUGGCGGCAUGCCUUGCACAUGCAAGUCGAACGGCAGCACGGGAGCAAUCCUGGUGGCGAGUGGCGAACGGGUGAGUAAUAUAUCGGAACGUGCCCAGUCGUGGGGGAUAACGUAGCGAAAGCUACGCUAAUACCGCAUACGAUCUAUGGAUGAAAGCGGGGGAUCGCAAGACCCCGCGCGAUUGGAGCGGCCGAUAUCAGAUUAGGUAGUUGGUGAGGUAAAGGCUCACCAAGCCGACGAUCUGUAGCUGGUCUGAGAGGACGACCAGCCACACUGGGACUGAGACACGGCCCAGACUCCUACGGGAGGCAGCAGUGGGGAAUUUUGGACAAUGGGCGCAAGCCUGAUCCAGCAAUGCCGCGUGCAGGAUGAAGGCCUUCGGGUUGUAAACUGCUUUUGUACGGAACGAAACGGCGAGCUCUAAUACAGUUUGCUAAUGACGGUACCGUAAGAAUAAGCACCGGCUAACUACGUGCCAGCCGCCGCAGUAA
rnacentral:rRNA from 1 species